AGUCGAACGGCAGUACGGACUUCGGUCUGGUGGCGAGUGGCGAACGGGUGAGUAAUGUAUCGGAACGUGCCUAGUAGCAGGGGGAUAACUACGCGAAAGCGUAGCUAAUACCGCAUACGCCCUUCCGGGGGAAAGCGGGGGACCUUCGGGCCUCGCACACUAUUAGAGCGGCCGAUAUCGGAUUAGCUAGUUGGUGGGGGUAACGGCUCACCAAGGCGACGAUCCGUAGCUGGUUGAGAGGACGACCAAACCACACUGGGACUGAGACACGGCCCAGACUCCUACCGGGAGGCAACGUGAAAUUUUGGACAAUAGGAAACCCACAGUCCAGCCAUCCCGCGUGUGCGAUGAAGGCCUUCCGGGUUGUAAAGCACUUUUGGCAGGAAAGAAACGGCACGGGAUAAUACCCCGUGCAACUGACGAAAACACCUGCAGAAUAAGCACCCGGCUAACUACGUGCCAGCAGCCGCGGUAAUACGUAAGUGCAAGCGUUAAUCGGAAUUACUGGGCGUAAAGCGUGCGCAGGCGGUUCGGAAGAAAGAUGUGAAAUCCCAGAGCUUAGCUUUGGAACUGCAUUUUUAACUACCGAGCUAGAGUGUGUCAGAGGGAGGUGGAAUUCCGCGUGUAGCAGUGAAAUGCGUAGAUAUGCGGAGGAACACCGAUAGCGGAAGGCAGCCUCUACCGGUCGCUACCGACGCUCAUGCACAGGACGUGGGAGCGAGCUGCAGGUUGAUGCCUGGUCCGCCCACAGCAAUAUCAACAAGCUGUGCAAGGGCCUUUGGGCCUUGGCCCGCUUCAGCUAAACAACGUGAAGUUGACCGCCUGGAGGUGAUCGCGCAAGGUCGAAACUCAAAGGAAUGAGCGGGACCGCAAGCAGGCGGAUGAUCAUGGAUCGAUUGAUGCAGCAUGAAAACCAUACCUGCUGCUGACAUGCUCUACAGUCCGAGAAGGUUUGGGUGCUAUAAGAAGGAGACCAGAACCCUACAGGUGCUGCGCGAGCAUCGUUGGCUCGUGUCGGCCAGAUCGUGCAGUUAAGUCCCUGCUGGCUGAGCUGCCGUCUUCAGGUUGCUACGAAGGGCACUCGUGGAGAGACAUGAGUGUUCGUCCAGGAGGAAGUGAGAUGAGCGUCAGUCCUCAUGGCCCUUGUCCGGUGGAGCUGCCUUGGAUCUUCUGGCCAGAUGAGGACAGAGAGGUCGCCAUGCGAGGAGGAGUAAUCCCGACUUGAAUCCGUGGUCGGAUCACCGAUCUACCCGACUCUGACUGCGUGAUCAAGAUCGCUGGCUCGUCGCGGAUCAACAUAUCGCGACGAAUGCGUUGGGGUCUUGCUUACCGCCGUCACCCGUAGAUGGUUUUCAGAAGUAGUUAGCCUAACCGUAAGGGGGAGGGCGAUUACCACCGGUAGGAUUCAUGACUGGGGUGGAAGUCAUAAGAUG
rnacentral:rRNA from 1 species